rnacentral:rRNA from 1 species
AAUUUUGGACAAUGGGCGAAAGCCUGAUCCAGCCAUGCCGCGUGUGUGAAGAAGGUCUUCGGAUUGUAAAGCACUUUAUGUUGGGAGGAAGAGCAGCAUGUUAAUACCUGGCUGUUUUGACGUUACCGCCAGAAUAAGCAACGUCUAACUUCGUGCCAGCAGCCGCGGUAAUACGAAGGGUGCAAGCGUUAAUCGGAAUUAAUGGGCGUAAAGCGCGCGUAGGUGGUUUGUUAAGGUAGAAGGAAAAGCCCCGGGCUCAAACUGGGAGGUGCUUUCAAAACUGGCAAGCUAGAGUAUGGCAGAGGGAGGUGGAAUUUCCUGUGUAGCGGUGAAAUGCGUAGAUAUAGAAAGGAACGAAAGUGGCGAAGGCGACCACCUGGGCUAAUACUGACACUGAGGUACGAAAGCAUGGGGAGCAAACA